GGGAGGGAGGUGGUCUUUGGAAUAGUAAGGCAAGAAGUUAAACUGAAGCCCACUGUGAACCAGCCCAUCUCCAGCAUCACAUGGAAAAGUGACCUGAACAAAGCAGCAGAGUGGGAAACAGGUCAAUCAACGCCUGAUUAUUAUACCAUAUGUAAUUCAGGAUCAAGGUGUCAACUGGAUCAUACAACUGGGGAGCUUAAAAUUAUGCAUCUAAAGCCGAAUGAAAAACUGGAUUUAUCUGCUGAGAUCAAUGGAAUGACAGCUCAGUCAUUUUUUACAGUGAUUGCACUUGAACUAGAGUCCAAACCCAGUGUCGGAACAAACUGCAGCAAAACCCAGUGUACUUUGGUCUGUGAGGGAAAGAACACCACAUAUACCAAGUACUCCUGGAAGGAGAACAAUAAAACGAUAGCAGAAAAUACCACAACGCUCCAAGUUCAGAAGAGUGACAAGCUGGAUAAAAGCUACACAUGUGUGUUCAGCAACCCUGUGAGUACAGAGGAGAGUGAACCUGUCAAGGAAUCGGUUUUAUUUCCAGAUCCGAGUGGUAAGAUCAUCGCAGGUGUUGUUUCAGCAAUUUGUGUAGCAGCUCUAUGUUGUGGAAUUGGUUUGUUCUACAAGAAAAAAGGCAUUCCUUGGAAGGCUGGAAGCCGCCAGAAAGAUCAACCCCAAGAAGAUACUGUUAUAUAUGAAAACACUGGAGACCAGUGCUGAGAUGGAGGUGGGACCUUAUUCUGAAUCACUCUGACAUAAACGUGUGAUCAAGUCACAGAUAAGGGCACAUGAGGGACUACCAAAACGAAAGCAAAUGAAAACAAAAGCAAAACGAAAGCAAACGAAAACCAAAAAGUCGUCAAAAUGUAAAUUGCAAGACGAUGUAAAUUUGUAAAUAUUGUUCAUUUAUUUUUUGUAUUUAUUAUUUGGGGAACACUUUUCUGCAUUUUGUAAUCCAUUCUUCAUGAAACUUUGCACAAUCAAAUUGAGGUCGAGUACCUUUUAACUUCCAAAGCUUACAUGAUGGUCGAUGUUAUAGUGACUCACUUUGUGGCACCAAUUAUAAAAUUCCCCACCCUGAUUUCACUGGAACUAAACCGCAGUGUUACCAUGGUGCUUAGCAGAGGUGGAUAAUUCAGGUCCAGAAAGUAAAAUUCCUGUCCAAGAUUUUGUUUCAACCAACCAGUUGAGUACUCUCUUACUGUGACACUUUAUACUCAACUGGGCCCCAUUUCAGUCACUCAUAGCUUCUUACGAAGACUCUAAAGAUAUGUCUUACGAAAGGUAUUUGUUUUCCUAUGUAUGUUUCCUGAACAUUCUCUUAAGAGAUUGCUCAAGGUAGAGCUUCUUAAGUAUGACCUUAAUAGGCACCAGAACACCUGAUUGGUUGACAUCGAUGGCUCAAGAAUUGAUUAUUCCAUCCAUGAAGCAACUGUAAGAAAGAAAGACAGAAUGUGAUGUUCUUUAUAAAUAUAACACUGCAUGAAUCCUUCAAAAUAUUGCAGUAAUCAGAACUGUGGAUAAGCUAAAAAUAAAAUACAAAAUUAAGAAACUGAAUUAUCUCACUGUAAAUAUGAUUAUCUGAUUUGGUGCAUGCAACCACCUCCCCAGAUUGUAGUAUCACCAAUUUAUUUAUUAUUUCUUAUAUAAAACACCUGCAUGCACCAAUAUAUGUGCAAGUCAUGGAUAUAGGAAUGAGCAAUGGGCCAAUUGCUGAAACAAAAGUUGCGUUACUGUCUUAACAUAAGCAAAUGACCUGUGUGCUUCAGUACUGAUACAAAAGACUAUUCCACAGUGCAUUUUUGGGGAAAAUAUAUUAGAGAAAUAUGUAAAUGAACCUACAGUGUCAACUCUUAUCAACCUCAUGCACUAUGGUUUUGAUUUACUGUGACACUGGAACAUUUAGAAAGGUGUGUGAAUUCCAGGGUUGUCGGAAAUAGGGGGAACACUUCCACCGCAAUUUUGGCAGACCCCCCUUCCUUCCUAAUUAAUAAAUAAAUACAUAAUCAACAGCACAUUCCUUAUGCUUCAUUCUGAAUCCACACUUUACUGAGGCCAAUUCGCUGCACAUUCAGAGCCCAAGGAUGAAACCUAAUGGUGAAUGUUGUCGUGUAUCAGACAAAAUUAUUUUAUCAUUUUAUCAUUAGUUAAGUGAUGUUUGGUUAUGAAACUGUACCCUUAACUAUGUCUUAUUUUAAAUGGGCAGUAUGA